rnacentral:rRNA from 1 species
UGAACGCUAGCGACAGGCCUAACACAUGCAAGUCGAGGGGCAGCAUUUCUAGCUUGCUAGAAGAUGGCGACCGGCGCACGGGUGAGUAACGCGUAUGCAACCUACCUUAUACUGGGGGAUAGCCCAGAGAAAUCUGGAUUAAUACCGCAUAAUAUGUUUGAAUCGCAUGGUUUAAAUAUUAAAACUCCGGUGGUAUAAGAUGGGCAUGCGUAGCAUUAGUUAGUUGGUGAGGUAACGGCUCACCAAGACAAUGAUGCUUAGGGGGUCUGAGAGGAUAGUCCCCCACACUGGUACUGAGACAGGACCAGACUCCUACGGGAGGCAGCAGUGAGGAAUAUUGGUCAAUGGACGCAAGUCUGAACCAGCCAUGUCGCGUGCAGGAUGACGGCCCUAUGGGUUGUAAACUGCUUUUUUACAGGAAUAAUUGUCGCUACGUGUAGUGAUUUGAAUGUACUGUAUGAAUAAGGAUCGGCUAACUCC